UUAUUAUCGUUACAAUGCCCCCGCUUUCAUUCGUCAGCCCGCCCCCUCUCGCAAAUAUAUCUCAGUGAGGAGACGAGGGCAGGUGGAAGAAGAGGGAUCCCUAAAAUAGAAGCGUCGGCAAAGAUGGCGAGUUGUACAUCGGCUUUAAACGCCAAAUCUCUGAGUUGCAUCAGCCCUGUCCGUUGCCCUUCUCAAGCAGGUGAUUAUAAGGAGGGAUAUCUUAUUGGCAUCGAAGUACCUGAUGAUAUUUGGUUCCCUGCAAUGGCUCGUCCAGCGUACCCGCACCAAAGAUACAACGACGCACAUGCCGACCUAAGCUUGCACGAAUGCUCUGUGCAGUGCCUGUGACCGUCGAAAUCUGAUAUGACUGCAUCAAGUUUUAGUUCC